AACGAACGCUGGCGGCAUGCCUAACACAUGCAAGUCGAACGAGACCUUCGGGUCUAGUGGCGCACGGGUGCGUAACGCGUGGGAACCUGCCCUUAGGUUCGGAAUAACUCCCCGAAAGGGGUGCUAAUACCGGAUAAUGUCUUCGGACCAAAGAUUUAUCGCCUUUGGAUGGGCCCGCGUUGGAUUAGCUAGUUGGUAGGGUAAAAGCCUACCAAGGCGACGAUCCAUAGCUGGUCUGAGAGGAUGAUCAGCCACACUGGGACUGAGACACGGCCCAGACUCCUACGGGAGGCAGCAGUGGGGAAUAUUGGACAAUGGGCGAAAGCCUGAGCCCGCAAUGCCGCGUGAGUGAUGAAGGCCUUAGGGUUGUAAAGCUCUUUUACCCGGGAUGAUAAUGACAGUACCGGGAGAAUAAGCUCCGGCUAACUCCGU
rnacentral:rRNA from 1 species